UAGCCACCAAGCUAAUGACUGUGUCCGAC
rnacentral:sRNA from 1 species